UACGAAGGGGGCUAGCGUUGCUCGGAAUCACUGGGCGUAAAGCGCACGUAGGCGGAUUGUUAAGUCAGGGGUGAAAUCCUGGAGCUCAACUCCAGAACUGCCUUUGAUACUGGCAAUCUUGAGUCCGGGAGAGGUGAGUGGAACUGCGAGUGUAGAGGUGAAAUUCGUAGAUAUUCGCAAGAACACCAGUGGCGAAGGCGGCUCACUGGCCCGGUACUGACGCUGAGGUGCGAAAGCGUGGGGAGCAAACAGG
rnacentral:rRNA from 1 species